UGCGACCCCAGGUCAGGCGGGGACUACCC
rnacentral:rRNA from 1 species